GAGGAAGCCGGUGCGAAUCCGGCGCGGUCCCGCCACUGUCACCGGAGAGCGCCGCCAUCCACAUGCCCUACAGCCACACGGGCAGGUCACGACCGCCAGCACGGUUGGAAGGCCGACGGCGGCGCGCGGGAUCCGGGAGCCAGGAUACUC
rnacentral:misc_RNA from 1 species